CCUACGGGUGGCUGCAGUGGGGAAUAUUGGACAAUGGGGGGAACCCUGAUCCAGCCAUGCCGCUUGUGUGAAGAAGGCCCUCGGGUUGUAAAGCACUUUCAGUGAGGAAGAACGCCUGGUGGUUAAUACCCAUCAGGAAAGACAUCACUCACAGAAGAAGCACCGGCUAACUCCGUGCCAGCAGCCGCGGUAAUACGGAGGGUGCGAGCGUUAAUCGGAAUUACUGGGCGUAAAGCGCGCGUAGGUGGCUUGAUAAGCCGGUUGUGAAAGCCCCGGGCUCAACCUGGGAACGGCAUCCGGAACUGUCAAGCUAGAGUGCAGGAGAGGAAGGUAGAAUUCCCGGUGUAGCGGUGAAAUGCGUAGAGAUCGGGAGGAAUACCAGUGGCGAAGGCGGCCUUCUGGACUGACACUGACACUGAGGUGCGAAAGCGUGGGUAGCAAACAGGAUUAGAUACCCCAGUAGUC
rnacentral:rRNA from 1 species